rnacentral:rRNA from 1 species
AUGUCGUGUGGUGGCUCACAGUUCUGGAAGGCGUUGGUCAAAGUUAGGCCUAUUUUUCAAUUAUUCAUUAAGUUUGUCGUUGGGGACGGUGCUUCGAUCAGGUUUUGGUUAGAUUGGUGGUGUGGAGAUUCACCACUCUCGGUGACCUUUCCCAUCCUGUUUUCUUAUUGUUCGGACCCUGCCAUUUCUAUUGCUAAGUUAGCUUCCCAGGGGUGGAACCUGAUCUUCCGGCGUUCCUUGUCGCCUGUAGAGUUCGAAGAGUGGCAACGUCUUACUGCCCUCUUCCCUUUGCUCUCGACGGCUAGGGACUCGGUGAUCUGGCCGCUGUCUUCCUCUGGUCGGUUCUCGGUGAAAUCUCUUUAUUCCAAGCUCGUUGGGGGUACGCCCAUUAAUCGCUUCUCCCAGGUCUGGAAGGCUCGUCUUCCCCCUAAGAUUAAAAUCUUCUUAUGGCAAGCCUUUCGGCAUCGGCUGCCUUCGGCUAAUCAAAUUCGCAAGAGAAAUGGCCCGGGCUCCCAGUUCUGUGCUCUGUGUGGUGCUGUUGAGGACAAUGAGCAUAUCUUUUUUCAUUGUCACCUGGCUAAGCUCAUUUGGAGUUGCGUUCGGGAUUGGUUAAACGUCUCUUGGGCCCCUGCCUCCUUUGCGGAGCUGCGAGCCUUGGCCCAUGACCUUUCAGGCGUCUCUCGGCGUCUAUUUUGGGUGGGCUUGGGAGCGUUGUGCUGGUCCCUUUGGACGACUAGGAACAAAUUUACUAUUGAACAUGUGUUUCUUGCUAAACCUGCUGACUACUUAUUUCAAUCAUGUGCCCUCCUGCAGCAGUGGAAAUCAUUGACUAAGGACGACGACCAUGACGCGUUCACUGCGUUAACAUCCAAAAUCCGGACGACGGCAUCUCUUCUUUGCAGACAAGCGCAGGGUGACUAA